CUGGUUCUUUUGAGUCUCUGAGUCAUAGUACAGUUUUAUUUUGGCAUGUACAUAUUAAAUAGAGUGAGUUGUAAAGAUUAUGUAAUCAAAAAUAGUAAGAUAUCAAAUGACAGUUGUUAGUGUAAUUAUAAGUGUGAUGUUCAUAUGUAUUACAGGUUAAAGUGCUAAUGAAACAGAGGAAAUUUUGCCGAAAAAUUUUGGGUUAGAAAUCUCACAUUUAUUUUAAUCACUUGAUGAAAGUUACAUGCAUUACCUAAAAACUUGGUAUUUACAGAUAAAAGAAAUUGUUUAGUCCU
rnacentral:lncRNA from 1 species